CUUUGUUGCAGGUCUGUUGCAUGUUGGUGGCUGACGCUGGUUCAAUAUUUGCACCAAGAAGCAUACCACGCAUACCCUCUGUUGUAAGACUGGUACCCAGGUGACGGACAGCCAUGGCCACAUUCAGCUGUGCAGCUCUUUGUCCCCUGCCAGAUCUUCUCACCUCUUCGUAAAGCUUUUCUCGGUGACUGGUAUAGUGGUACUUCUUACAUCGAAUGGAAAGGAUCCAUGCCAGGCCUCGUUUUUCCUCCCCAUGCUGAUUCCAGUCCAGUUGACCAUCACAGUCUGGAAACUUCUAUUCCAUGUAGGUGUCCACUGGCUGGACCUCACUAGGCCCGGGUCGUAAAAACUUCAUCUCGCUGCUUCGGCUCUUGGCAUCUAUAACUGCAAACACUCCAUUUUUCUGUGGCCGUACAAUGUCCUGAAACUCUUCUUUACUUAGUCUUCUCAUAGGAACCAGAGAUUGGACUGGGCUGGUGGUCCCUAUUUUCUUCUGGCCUUUGUUGUGAGGAAUACUUCCUUUUUUGUUUUGAUGUUGAUGCAACCAUCUUGGUCCUUUUUUUGGCAUGAGCUGCCAGGACUUCUAAGAGAAACUCCAUUCUUUGUUGACUGAUGGAAAAGCCUCAUCACCCCCCCCCCCCCCCCCUUAAGAACCCCUUAUCUUAAUCACCAGCCAUUAAUCAGUGAU